GUGCAGAAUUAAAUCAAUAAAAGUCGAUAAAGAAGAUACAUUUUGCUAGUUACGCUCUGAAACUCAUCUCAAGCACUCAAAAGCUAAAUAAGUUGUAAACAAUCCUUGGAUUUAAUUCUGCAGUUGCGCACCCACAAGGAGAUUUUGUUGAAACUAUUGGCACGCAAGCUGAUAAAGACAUCUUUGUUCCAGUGGAAACCAGUCAAGUCCGACUUCGUCAUGAAGGCGGACGACGGAGGAGAGGAGAGAACAUAUCAUCACGUUUCACAAAAAUCCGAAACGUCGAAUUGGACCCAGAUUUUCAAGCUGAGGGUGAAUUAGAAGGAUGGUGUAAGGCUAUUUGCAGCCGAUUGAAGAGAAGAGGAGCCGAUUUGGAUCAAUAUUUGUGUCCAGGUCCUCCGGAGAAUGGGUAUUCAAUAAAAUGCUCUCAAGUAAAACUAUAAAACAUGCCUGGUACCGAUUGGUUCUACAGUGGUCCAAAUAAAAAUACAAUUUUUGUGCUUUUUGCUGUCAUAAUUAAAUUAAUAAAAACUUUAA